GCGUCUAUGGUGUAGUGGUUAGCAUUGUUGCCUUCCAAGCAAUAGGGAGGGGUUCAAUUCCCCUUAGUCGCA